GCUAGAGCACUUUUUCAAUGUGCUCCCAAUGACAAGGCGUCGACGCAUUCGUAUGUCAAUCCAUAUCAACUUUCGAUGCCAUUUACUGCGCCUACCAUGGUGACCACGGGUAACGGGGAAUCAGGGUUCGACUCCGUACCGGGACCUUGGCAAACGGCUACCACAUGCAAGGAAGGCA